GGUUAAGCGACUAAGCGUACACGGUGGAUGCCCUGGCAGUCAGAGGCGAUGAAGGACGUGCUAAUCUGCGAAAAGCGUCGGUAAGGUGAUAUGAACCGUUAUAACCGGCGAUGUCCGAAUGGGGAAACCCAGUGCAAUUCGUUGCACUAUCGUUAACUGAAUACAUAGGUUAACGAGGCGAACCGGGGGAACUGAAACAUCUAAGUACCCCGAGGAAAAGAAAUCAACCGAGAUUCCCCCAGUAGCGGCGAGCGAACGGGGAGCAGCCCAGAGUCUGAAUCAGCUUGUGUGUUAGUGGAACGGUCUGGAAAGUCCGACGGUACAGGGUGAUAGUCCCGUACACCAAAAUGCACAGGCUGUGAACUCGAAGAGUAGGGCGGGACACGUGGUAUCCUGUCUGAAUAUGGGGGGACCAUCCUCCAAGGCUAAAUACUCCUGACUGACCGAUAGUGAACCAGUACCGUGAGGGAAAGGCGAAAAGAACCCCGGCGAGGGGAGUGAAAAAGAACCUGAAACCGUGUACGUACAAGCAGUGGGAGCACCUUCGGGUGUGACUGCGUACCUUUUGUAUAAUGGGUCAGCGACUUAUAUUCUGUAGCAAGGUUAACCGUAUAGGGGAGCCGCAGGGAAACCGAGUCUUAACUGGGCGUUAAGUUGCAGGGUAUAGACCCGAAACCCGGUGAUCUAGCCAUGGGCAGGUUGAAGGUUGGGUAACACUAACUGGAGGACCGAACCGACUAAUGUUGAAAAAUUAGCGGAUGACUUGUGGCUGGGGGUGAAAGGCCAAUCAAACCGGGAGAUAGCUGGUUCUCCCCGAAAGCUAUUUAGGUAGCGCCUCGUGAACUCAUCUUCGGGGGUAGAGCACUGUUUCGGCUAGGGGGUCAUCCCGACUUACCAACCCGAUGCAAACUACGAAUACCGAAGAAUGUUAUCACGGGAGACACACGGCGGGUGCUAACGUCCGUCGUGAAGAGGGAAACAACCCAGACCGCCAGCUAAGGUCCCAAAGUCAUGGUUAAGUGGGAAACGAUGUGGGAAGGCACAGACAGCCAGGAUGUUGGCUUAGAAGCAGCCAUCAUUUAAAGAAAGCGUAAUAGCUCACUGGUCGAGUCGGCCUGCGCGGAAGAUGUAACGGGGCUAAACCAUGCACCGAAGCUGCGGCAGCGACACUAUGUGUUGUUGGGUAGGGGAGCGUUCUGUAAGCCUGCGAAGGUGUGCUGUGAGGCAUGCUGGAGGUAUCAGAAGUGCGAAUGCUGACAUAAGUAACGAUAAAGCGGGUGAAAAGCCCGCUCGCCGGAAGACCAAGGGUUCCUGUCCAACGUUAAUCGGGGCAGGGUGAGUCGACCCCUAAGGCGAGGCCGAAAGGCGUAGUCGAUGGGAAACAGGUUAAUAUUCCUGUACUUGGUGUUACUGCGAAGGGGGGACGGAGAAGGCUAUGUUAGCCGGGCGACGGUUGUCCCGGUUUAAGCAUGUAGGCUGGUUAUCCAGGCAAAUCCGGAUAAUCAAGGCUGAGGUGUGAUGACGAGGCACUACGGUGCUGAAGUAACAAAUGCCCUGCUUCCAGGAAAAGCCUCUAAGCAUCAGGUAACAUCAAAUCGUACCCCAAACCGACACAGGUGGUCAGGUAGAGAAUACCAAGGCGCUUGAGAGAACUCGGGUGAAGGAACUAGGCAAAAUGGUGCCGUAACUUCGGGAGAAGGCACGCUGGUGUGUAGGUGAAGUCCCUGCGGAUGGAGCUGAGACCAGUCGAAGAUACCAGCUGGCUGCAACUGUUUAUUAAAAACACAGCACUGUGCAAACACGAAAGUGGACGUAUACGGUGUGACGCCUGCCCGGUGCCGGAAGGUUAAUUGAUGGGGUUAUCCGUAAGGAGAAGCUCUUGAUCGAAGCCCCGGUAAACGGCGGCCGUAACUAUAACGGUCCUAAGGUAGCGAAAUUCCUUGUCGGGUAAGUUCCGACCUGCACGAAUGGCGUAAUGAUGGCCAGGCUGUCUCCACCCGAGACUCAGUGAAAUUGAACUCGCUGUGAAGAUGCAGUGUACCCGCGGCAAGACGGAAAGACCCCGUGAACCUUUACUAUAGCUUGACACUGAACAUUGAGCCUUGAUGUGUAGGAUAGGUGGGAGGCUUUGAAGCGUGGACGCCAGUCUGCGUGGAGCCAACCUUGAAAUACCACCCUUUAAUGUUUGAUGUUCUAACGUUGGCCCCUGACCGGGGUUGCGGACAGUGUCUGGUGGGUAGUUUGACUGGGGCGGUCUCCUCCCAAAGCGUAACGGAGGAGCACGAAGGUUAGCUAAUCCUGGUCGGACAUCAGGAGGUUAGUGCAAUGGCAUAAGCUAGCUUGACUGCGAGCGUGACGGCGCGAGCAGGUGCGAAAAAGCAGGUCAUAGUGAUCCGGUGGUUCUGAAUGGAAGGGCCAUCGCUCAACGGAUAAAAGGUACUCCGGGGAUAACAGGCUGAUACCGCCCAAGAGUUCAUAUCGACGGCGGUGUUUGGCACCUCGAUGUCGGCUCAUCACAUCCUGGGGCUGAAGUAGGUCCCAAGGGUAUGGCUGUUCGCCAUUUAAAGUGGUACGCGAGCUGGGUUUAGAACGUCGUGAGACAGUUCGGUCCCUAUCUGCCGUGGGCGCUGGAGAAUUGAGGGGGGCUGCUCCUAGUACGAGAGGACCGGAGUGGACGCAUCACUGGUGUUCGGGUUGUCAUGCCAAUGGCACUGCCCGGUAGCUAAAUGCGGAAGAGAUAAGUGCUGAAAGCAUCUAAGCACGAAACUUGCCCCGAGAUGAGUUCUCCCUGAGACUUUAAGUCUCCUGAAGGAACGUUGAAGACGACGACGUUGAUAGGCCGGGUGUGUAAGCGCAGCGAUGCGUUGAGCUAACCGGUACUAAUGAACCGUGAGGCUUAACCUU
rnacentral:rRNA from 1 species